AAGGUAAGCUUCAUUGGUACUGUUGCCACGGUGAUAAUGGCUGUGCCGUGUUAUUGUUGAUCCACCAACAGUCAGAGAAGCUUUGCAGUCAAGAUAUUGCUUAGCAGAUGGAACGGUUUCUGUUGGACACUAAGUACUGCUACAAAA